AUUGCACGCUGGCGGCAGGCCUAACACAUGCAAGUCGAGCGGAGCGCCGGACGGACGAGUAAUACCUAGGAUUCUGACUGAUCCUGGGGGAUAAGAUUCGCUAUCGGACGCGAACACCUAACAUUAUCAGAUACGUCUAGCUCGGAUUAGCUAGAUGGUGGGGUAAUGGCUAACAAUGGCUACGAUCCGUAACUGGUCUGUGAGUAUGAUCAGACACACUGGAACUGAGACACGUUCCAGAUUCCUACGGGAGGCAGAAGUGGGGAAUAUUGGAAAAGGGGCGAAAGCCUGAUCCAGCCAUGCCGCGUGUGUGAAGAAGGUCUUCGGAUUGUAAAGCACUUUAAGUUGGGAGGCGUUACCGACAGAAUAAGCACCGGCUAACUCUGUGCCAGCAGCCGCGGUAAUAC
rnacentral:rRNA from 1 species